rnacentral:lncRNA from 1 species
AAGAGCUGAAUAUAUUCGUUAACUUUAUGCACUUUCCUGUACUGUUUCUUCGUGCAUAGCUGUUGUGCAUGAAUCCUUGACAAGGAGACAUGAGUUGUUUCUGAAAUAGAGCCUGUUUGUAUUAACCAUGGCUAUAGGAGACAUAAUUGGACUUCAAGAAAAAAGACAAAACAAAACUGAGUAGCUGGAAGGUAAAUUCAUCGGUUGAUAUCUAAUGUGAGUCAAGGGUUCAAUAUGAAGGCGUAUACCUAACCCUCUAUAUAAACGUUCUAUACAAAGCUUCUAUAUAAAGGAUUCCAAAAGUGGUGUUUAUUUUCACUUGAGACAAAAUUAGACCUUUCCUGAUACCCCAUCUUCUUUUGGUAAACAGGGUUGACAGUGCUGAAUGAGAGGUGACGUGGGGUCACCCAAUAUCAAAUGGCCCUUUUCCAUUCAAUCUCUUUACAUUGUACUGUGUUCAUAUCUAAUUGUAUCAGGUGAGGUCAGCGUGCCACUUGAUAUAGAUCAGAGAUGAUCAAAUGCACUUAUCCUGUGAAUAUAAAUGCUCGUGUACACAUGUAUAUAAUAUACAUGCCUGAUUUCUACAAUUCACACGUUAAGUGUAUUAUCCAAAUAAAGUUGUAUAUAAUGUAAAGUUUAUGUUAAAACUUAAAUGGUGAUGAUGAUACUGACACAUGGAAAACCCAUUCUGGUUACUGGUGGGAUGAGAUUUAUGUAGAGAGCGAACUGUUAUUAUUUUUUUUUUAAUCUCAAUUCUAGGGAGGAUGACAGAGCCCAAGUGGGACUUGGGUGUUGGUGUUCUUGGCCCCUUCUUAAAGAAAUAUCUGGGUUAAGGGUGUGUAAUAUAUUCUGCUCACAUUUGCUUCUGAAAGUAAUGCUGGUAUGGACAUGUGUGUGAUUUCUGUAAACCCAUCAAAGGGCAUAUUUCCUGUUAAAUUCCUUUUCCUCUUUUCCCACCCACGCUCGUUUUGUGCCCGGAAGUACUCUCAGUCUGGUAUCAGCUAAAGAUGCUUGCCCAGAGGGGUCUCAGAAAAAUAUAACUUAUAGAGCUACACCAAGAUUUGAGGCAAGGGGAAGGGAGAUGAGAAAAUGAAGUUCCCAAGGGUCAGUAUAAGAUGGUCAGGUUGACGGUAUCAGAGGCAGGUCUAGAACCCAAGACUUCGUGGUCCGAUUCCUGGCUUGACCCUUUACCAGGCGGAGCCAUUUCUAGGUGUUUCUCAGGAGCAUCCUCCUAAAUACCUCUGGGAUGAGAGCCAGAGAGCCUCAUAGAACUGGCCCAGCUUUCCCUCCACUCUUACGCUCUACACACCCAUGCAUCCCUCUUUGAAUUUGGUUUUCCUUCAAACCCCCCAGCAUUCCCUGCCUCAGAGUCCUGGAGAAGAGAAAACUUUUUUUAGGGACCUAUUCCCUGGGAAGAGUCCACAGGGAUGUAGUUUAAAACCUCAAACCAAAGACGAAAGCUGGCAGUGAUCACUGAGAUACUAGAGUUCUGUUUCGCAUGAGCCAAGGAUGAACAAAGGGCACUGAUCAGCUGGAAGGACUUGACUGAGUAUCUGCUCUGUUUUUAAGGCCAAUUUGGGAUUGGGGCGAUGCAAAGGGAAGAGAAAAUAUGGACUCUUCCAAGAAGUAGCUUGCAGUCUAGAAAUUCAGUCCCCUAAUACUAAAGAUGACAUAGGACCCAUGGAAGGCAAACAGUCUAAAUGUAAAAAAAAACAGAAACGAUACAUAAAGUUCUUGUCAGGAAAUAAAAAUUUAUCCAACCCCAUGAUGAAACAAACAAGAAAACCCUCCCUUAGCCUUGUAAGUAACUUUGGAGAAUAUAGCUGGUGCUCCUAGAGAUGCCCUGGCUUAUUUUAAUCUUCAAAGGAAACCUGGAGGCAUCUAGACAGGUAGACAAACUUGCCCUUCUACAUUUUUGCACAGGCAGUCUUGGAUAUGGUUCCACUCAGUUCUCCAACCUUUGCCGAAUCCUGCCUCCCUCCUGCUCUGCUUUAUGCCAUGUGCUUCAAGAAAAGGUUGAAAAAAAUCCUCAAAGGUUUAGAAAAUAGACUGUGAUGGAAAAAGACGAUUUCCUGAGAGCUUUUUCGUUUGGUUUUGGUUUUGACUUGUGAAGAAUACUUUCGAUAGUUCAGGGUAUAAGUGUAUCAGGGAAGGGAGGAGCCAGAACCCCUCACUGAGUCCCAAGUGCCUACUGUUGUGGCUGGCCACAGGUUCCCUACGAGAAAGUGGGGCAAGGAGAUGGCAAAAGGAAUCGAGGUGUAUUUCAGGAAGAUGGAGGGUGGGCAGGGACCUUACUUUUUUCCCCCGUCCAUCCUAUUCUGUGUGUUACUGGAAUGUUGUAUUCUCUGCUUAUCCCAAGUACAUGCCUUGGGUCAGCACUCGAAUUAGGAAAAAUCAAAAUAUAUCUAUAUGGAGUAUAGACUAUAUUCUAGGCAUAUCCUAGAAUGCGAUCCUCAAAAUAACCUUAGGAUGUAAGGAUGAGUGCUUCCAUUUUAGAGAGAAGGAACUGAGGCUCAGGUUGGUCUCAGCCCCCAUCAGGACCAAAAAUCCCUAAUGUUAGGAAUAUUCUUGAAGUGCCUGAUCUCCUCCGGGGAGGUCAGAAUGGAAGCCAGAAAGAAAGAUGUGCUGUUCGAGGUCCCCGGGGCUCUCUCUUGAGUUUCAGCCUCCAUGGUGAGGAAGCUUGUUCAUGUCCUACGCUUGUCACCUGGUUUGGGGUGUAUUGAGGACCCCUGGGGAUCUCACCUCCAUUCAUGGCCCCUUCUGAGACUUGAAUGCUGUUUGUGUCUCUCCCCUCAAUGCUUGCACUAGCACUUAUUUUUUUUGGUUCCUGGGGAGUUAUUUUCUCGACUUAGCAUGUGCCUAAUCUUAAAUAUCCCCUUCCUAGUCUCUCUUCUUUUCUCAGUAGACAUCAGGGCUAAUUCCAUUAAACAUAUGCAAAUAGUAUGCACUCACGUGUGUGUGGGCGCGCACAGACACACACACACACAUACACUACCUUGCAGCCCCUCCCUUAAAGCUGUCCUAAACGUUGUGGGCUAUUUUCAGAAAUAUGUUAUUUGCAAGUGACUGUCUCUUCUAUUUUGUCUAUGUGUUUGGUUGUCUUUGCCAAGCAGACAGAAGAAGGUUCCAGGUGUGACAGGGACUAGGAAAUAGAGUUUUACAUAAAUGAGCAGGAGCUUGGCUAAUCAGAACGACUGAGGGCCAGCUAUUAAGACUCUUUCCUUCUUGGUCUGUUCUGUUUUUUUGAAAUCAUCUUAGAGAUCCUCUCCCGGUCACUCACAUCAAGAUAACGACUGAAUCACUGAAUGCUCAUUCAGUUUGUCUCAUUAGACAGUGUUGAACUGGAAUAUUUGCAUCAGGCUUUCUAGGAGUCCAAAAUGACACAGUGCUUACUGCAUCGUGUAGGCAACGACACUGAGCCCACCCUUCCUUUCUUGUACCCGUCUCCCACCUUCUAAGCCACACCUCUCUCUCCUGGCAUUUAUGUUUACUGUGAGGUGGGGUACUUUAGGUCCAUUUUGUAGGUGAGGAAGCUGAGCUGGGAUUUGAAGGAGGGUUUUUCUGGGAGGUUCUGUGAAUCGAUCCUUCUGGAAGGUCAGUUAACCUAAUUAAGCACCCUUCUCUUGGUCCCUGAGAAACUCUCUAGCCAUUUGCAUCUUUCAAGUGGCAGUAAAAAGUCUCUUGAGACAGAAAGGUUGUUACUAUCUAAUAGCUAUUUUGAGAUCCUGUUGUUGGGUCUACAAACGCAUGACAACCUUCUCCCGGGGAAGUUGGUCUGUGCAGAAACUGGAACACUCAAAAGAACCAUUUGGCCAGUGGUAUUUCUUCAGUAGGGCCAUAAUUCAAAGCUCACAACUCUCCAGGGAGCAAGAACCAAAUUGUUUAAAAUGGAGUCAUUUCUCAGCUUAACUUCCUCAGAUAAGGUGUCAGCAGUAUGCAGAAACAAACAAGACAAAACUGAGAUUAUCACUUAUAAAUCCCUCUUAGGUACCACAUCCGUGAAACGAUGAGUUUGCAUUUUGCUGAUUCUAGAACCUUCCUCAUUAGCAGGAGACCUGGGUCAUAACCUCUUCCAGUUAAUUCUCUCUCACACGUUUGGGAAAGAUUUAAGAUGAGGCUUCAAAAGAUUAUUAACAUAACACAUAGCCAAUACCACAGCUGCCUUUUCAAUUAAUAAGGUUAAUUGUUCUUCAGCAAACAUGAGUUUGUCUUUGGCAUUUUAAAUGCUUCUCAUUGAUCUGACAUUUUGCCGUUUCAAGCUUUUAAAGGGCUCAAAUCAAAAACUAUUGAUAGCUGAGCAAAUAGUGAAGGUCCAGAAAUAUAAAAACAUUGUUGGUUUUUCCAUGAAAAACAAUCGUAGCCUUUUGAAUUCAAUUGAGGUUUUUACCUUAGCCAUCUAAGACUUAUUGAAUUAUUUCUAUUCUCAGUUAAGCCAAUUCAAAUAAAUGAACAGUAUUGACUUUUUAAACCUAUUUUAUUUAUUUAUUUUUAAAUCUUAAGUUCAUUAAGUUUGUAGACACAGCUCUGGGGCCAUGACCACUAAGGAAACGUUCCAGUUUAGAAAUUGAAGAUUCAGAUGACUAUUUUGGGUCAAAUUCAGGUGAUCAUCUUUGAAAAUUCUGAUGGAUUUGGGAAGAUGAAAGUGACACUUGUAACAUUCAUGUUCCCCCAAUUUUUCACUGGGAAAGGAUGUCAAUUGCCUAUUUUUUUCAAAUCAGAGAUAAGAUCAAGAAUAACAUGUUCAUAGAAAAUUCAGUAAACUACUCAAUACCACUAAUUAUGUGACUAGAUGUGGCUCAGAUGCCUUUUAAGCCCGAGGGCCCCCAAAGAUUUCUUUGUUGGUUGUUUCUAACUAUGAAUCUUAAUCUUGUUCAUUCCCCUGCUAAAACCGAUUUAAAAGCUUAUCCUUGCCAAAUUAUUUAGUCAGUAGAGUUCACUGUCAUUUAUCACAAUAGAAUGUUUAUAUGUAUGUGUUCAUGUGUAGUAUAUAUAUUUCAAGCUGAACAUUCAGAAAGAAUUAGGUGAGUUACUUGGUAGCUUGAAUACGAAGGAGAUCAUAAAAAUUAUAGAUAAUGACCUUCUCAGACAGAAAAAGAGGGUAAACUAUUCAUCUUUCACUCACUGGUUGUGUAACACACAAGCUGGUCAUUACCCAUAAGAAAGGAAUUGAAUGGAGCAGCUUUAAAGGUCCAUGUCUGAGUCCGUUUGUAGAUGAGUCCAUUUGUGGGAUGAGGUUUGAAUGCCGUAUGCAGAGGGUUCCCAUUCACAGCUACAUUCCAACACAGUCCAAAACCCACGUCAGAACCGGCUUGAUCUCUUGUACGGUGGAGCCCAAGGCAAGCCGUGCACUCUACUCAGUGGUUUCCAUUUGGGAUGUUCACUCACCAAUCGCAACAGUUUAUACCUGUCAUGUUUUAAUCCACUGCAUGAGGAAGUGUUAAUAACUGUAUUAAAUAUUUCCAAGCAUAGCUACAAAAUUACACGUUUGCUUAACACCUUUCUAUGAUAGAGAAAGUAUAUACUAUGGUUGUCUUCUUGUUGUAUGUCUUUUAUUUUCUUUCAACGUGUUAUCAACUGUUUUAAGGAAUGGGGUUUGAAAUGUGUGUGUGCAAACUGAUAUGUACAUAACUCCCAAGGCAACAAAAGUGCCCAGUCAUAUGGUGUACAAAUGUAAAUACAGGAAAAUUUCAUUUUUCUAAUAAAGAUAAUUUCUGCCA